rnacentral:rRNA from 1 species
AUGAACGCUGGCGGCGUGCCUCAUACAUGCAAGUCGAACGCUUCACUUCGGUGAAGAGUGGCGAACGGGUGAGUAAUACAUAAGUAACCUGGCAUCUACAGGGGGAUAACUGAUGGAAACGUCAGCUAAGACCGCAUAGGUGUAGAGAUCGCAUGAACUCUAUAUGAAAAGUGCUACGGGACUGGUAGAUGAUGGACUUAUGGCGCAUUAGCUUGUUGGUAGGGUAACGGCCUACCAAGGCGACGAUGCGUAGCCGACCUGAGAGGGUGACCGGCCACACUGGGACUGAGACACGGCCCAGACUCCUACGGGAGGCAGCAGUAGGGAAUUUUCGGCAAUGGGGGAAACCCUGACCGAGCAACGCCGCGUGAAGGAAGAAGUAAUUCGUUAUGUAAACUUCUGUCAUAGAGGAAGAACGGUGGAUAUAGGGAAUGAUAUCCAAGUGACGGUACUCUAUAAGAAAGCCACGGCUAACUACGUG